rnacentral:lncRNA from 1 species
CCUUUUGAAGAAUUUUGUAACUAGCCAGAAGGGUUUUUGAAGGCAUCUCUCAUAAGAUGGCAUUUGAGCAGAGACCUGAGGAAGUGAAAGAUGGAGGGCUGAAGAUUCCAAGUAGAGGAACAAGCAAAGACCCCAGGCAGGAUCAGGAAAGUGUGGUAGAGACAUAAUCAAAGAUUCAGACAAAGAUAUAACUACAGAAUGCACAUGAUAGUUUUGUUAAUACACCAAAAUGAAAAAAAUUAAAUAAUGGUGGACUCGCCCAAUAAAUUGUGACCAUCUAUACUUUGGAAUAACAUGAAGAUUGUUAAAAACUAUGUUUACAAGAAUGGCAAUAACAGAGAAACACUUGCUAUAUAAUUUUCACAAAAACAAGGUAUAAAAAUACUAUAUAUAUAAUAAAAUUCAAAUUUUUAAGAGAAAUUGAAAUGUAUAGAAAACAUUGCAAAAGGAUACACUUAAUAACCUCUUUUUCAGCAUGGUAGAAUUGUGGGUGAUUUUUGUUCCCUUUAUAUUUUUUAAUACUUUGUACUUUUUAAUGACAAAUGUAUAUACUACCAUUUAAUGAUAAAAAUAUACUUUUAAAAUACUGGAUAAGAAUUAUUCAAAUAAAUGCCUUAUUUAAAAGUUAAA